UGGGUAUGACCUGAAAUGUUUGGCAAUGA
rnacentral:piRNA from 1 species